rnacentral:rRNA from 1 species
AACGAACGCUGGCGGCAUGCCUAACACAUGCAAGUCGAACGAGACCUUCGGGUCUAGUGGCGCACGGGGGCGUAACGCGUGGGAACCUGCCCUUAGGUUCGGAAUAACUCCCCGAAAGGGGUGCUAAUACCGGAUAAUGUCUUCGGACCAAAGAUUUAUCGCCUUUGGAUGGGCCCGCGUUGGAUUAGCUAGUUGGUAGGGUAAAAGCCUACCAAGGCGACGAUCCAUAGCUGGUCUGAGAGGAUGCUCAGCCACACUGGGACUGAGGCACGGCCCAGACUCCUACGGGAGGGAGCAGUGGGGAAUAUUGAACGAGGGGCGAAAGCCUGAUACAGCAAUGCCGCGUGAGUGAUGAAGGCCUUAGGGUUGUAAAGCUCUUUUACCCGGGAUGAUAAUGACAGUACCGGGAGAAUAAGCUCCGGCUAACUACGUG